CACCUCUCAGGGUCGCACCUGGAGAGUUUUCAGUACUCUACCAGUCUUGGCUAAAGGAGGGAGAGUGAAGCAGAGGCCUACCUAUUCAAUUCCUAGCUUGGGCAGUGGCUACCGAGUGGAAGACAAUGUGCAACAAGU